rnacentral:rRNA from 1 species
GCCUGCAGUCAAAAGAAGUAGAGCUUAAGUUAAAUCUGACCUAACUUCAAAAAGUGUGUGAGAAUCUCAGAAGCUAAGCAGGGUCAAGCCUGGUUAAUACUUGGAUGGGAGACCACCUAGGAAGACCAGGAGCUGUAGGUG